rnacentral:rRNA from 1 species
GAAUUCGAUUAGGCCUAACACAUGCAAGUCGAACGGAAUCCUUCGGGAUUUAGUGGCGGACGGGUGAGUAACACGUAAGAAUCUGCCAAAAGGUUUGGGAAAACAGUGGGAAACGACUGCUAAUCCCAAAUAAGCCGAAACGUAAAAGGAGAAAUCCGCCUUUUGAUGAGCUUGCGGCUGACUAGCUAGUUGGUAGUGUAAGGGACUACCAAGGCGACGAUCAGUAGCUGGUCUGAGAGGAGGAGCAGCCACACUGGGACUGAGACACGGCCCAGACUCCUACGGGAGGCAGCAGUGGGGAAUUUUCCUCAAAGGGCGAAAGCCU